GGCGGCGUGCCUAAUACAUGCAAGUCGAGCGAACAGACGAGGAGCUUGCUCCUCUGACGUUAGCGGCGGACGGGUGAGUAACACGUGGAUAACCUACCUAUAAGACUGGGAUAACUUCGGGAAACCGGAGCUAAUACCGGAUAAUAUAUUGAACCGCAUGGUUCAAUAGUGAAAGACGGUUUUGCUGUCACUUAUAGAUGGAUCCGCGCCGCAUUAGCUAGUUGGUAAGGUAACGGCUUACCAAGGCAACGAUGCGUAGCCGACCUGAGAGGGUGAUCGGCCACACUGGAACUGAGACACGGUCCAGACUCCUACGGGAGGCAGCAGUAGGGAAUCUUCCGCAAUGGGCGAAAGCCUGACGGAGCAACGCCGCGUGAGUGAUGAAGGUCUUCGGAUCGUAAAACUCUGUUAUUAGGGAAGAACAAAUGUGUAAGUAACUAUGCACGUCUGACGG
rnacentral:rRNA from 1 species